UACGUAGGGUGCGAGCGUUGUCCGGAAUUACUGGGCGUAAAGAGCUCGUAGGUGGUUUGUCGCGUUGUCCGUGAAAACUCACAGCUUAACUGUGGGCGUGCGGGCGAUACGGGCAGACUGGAGUACUGCAGGGGAGACUGGAAUUCCUGGUGUAGCGGUGGAAUGCGCAGAUACCAGGAGGAACACCGGUGGCGAAGGCGGGUCUCUGGGCAGUAACUGACGCUGAGGAGCGAAAGCGUGGGGAGCGAACAGG
rnacentral:rRNA from 1 species